CGACCACCAUGGUGGACAAAUUACAAACACUCUUUAAUAGCAGCUUCAUUCGAUAACAUCACAAAAUCAGGGUGCUCUUUGGCUUCCGGACCCCAAUUCUUAAUUAAAUGAUCGUGACAGUCACAAAUACCUAAAUCCUUAGGGUCAAUGUCCCCUAAAACUGUUCUUACAAAUCUUUUCAUUUCUAAAUGGACGUUAAAUGGUUUAAGUGUAUUGAAAUAACCCUAAUAAUGUGUAAGCUACUGGAUAAUUUGCCAUUAACAGUUGUAAAGCUGGCAACUAUUUUUAGAAUCAGCCAUGGAUCAAAAAAUGAUAAAUGACCUCAAAGAACAGGUUUUUCAAACGAAUUUAUUACUACCCAAAUAUGGCUUAGUCAUCCACACUUGGGGUAAUGUUUCGAUGAUUGCCCCGAACCGUCAGUUCUUUGUCAUUAAACCAAGUGGUGUGAGCUAUGACAAGAUGCGUGCCCAAGAUAUGGUAGUGGUCGAUUUGGACAACAAUGUUCUAGAUACCAACGGCCUCAAACCAUCAAGUGAUACCCCAACCCAUGCGUUAAUGUACAAACAUUGUCCAGAUAUUAAAGCUAUUGUGCACACCCACUCUACUUUCGCGACAUCGUUUGCUCAAGCCGAUAAGCCGAUUCCUUGUCUUGGUACUACCCAUGCUGAUAACUUCUUUGGACCAAUCCCGUGUACUAGGGCUUUAAGUGACAGUGAAAUUAAUGGAGCUUAUGAACAUAAUACUGGUUUAGUCAUUCUGGAACACCUCAAAAACAACCAGGUUGAUGUCAAUGCUUGUGCGGCCAUCUUAGUCAAAGAACACGGUUCGUUUGUUUGGUCCAAUAAGAAUGGCAAGGAUGCAGUGGACCGGGCGUUAACUUUAGAACAAGUGGCCCAAAUGGCCUUAUAUACCCAAAUGAUCAAUCCCCACAUGAAAGAAGCAAACCCAGCGUUACAACAAAAGCACUAUAACCGCAAACAUGGUAAAGAUGCUUACUAUGGACAAGAUACUAAGCAAGAAGAUUAAAGUGAACUGGUUGGGCGGGGUGUUUUGGUUAUUACCUAACUUACUCGAUCUGUUUUCCGCUAGCAAACGUAAAGCGAGUGUGCGACCCUACCAAAGCUUAUUGGAACUGGUUCAAGAAAACUUCUUGAACCGGUAUGACCUCGUGCACUUUAGCUUUAAUGGUGACCAUGACUUCUUUCACUUUAAUGAUUUACAAGCCAUUAGGAGCUUUAACUUUACGAUAGAAGAGGAACAACUAGGAGCAAUGCAACCAGAUGAGGUUUUACUGUUUGAACCUGUGGAUCGUGUAACAGUGGAAUUAGAUCAAAAGGGUUUGAGUUUAAUCCACAGUGGCAAAGCUUUUUGUGCUAGUGCAAACUACUUUAAGCACUGGCUAAAACGCGUACCACAGCAAGACAAAGUGACCCUAGUGUGGCGAAAAUCAGGUUUUGAAUUAAAGCAGUAGAAUUACUCUAAUACUAUAUAGCACUUCUCCCCCACGCUUUCCCGUUUCUCCACCGGGUUCAACCUCGCGGGGUCGGUGCUCGACCAGGUGUUUGACUAUAUUCCCUGGAUUGGGAAUGGGUACAGGUAUGGGAAUAACCACCGGUGUGUGGAUGAUAUAACCGCGCCUCAAACCAGCGCGGGGUCGUCCAGCGGAACUAGUACGAACACAAGUGGUUCGCGUUCCUUUCUCCCGACGUUUUCGAAUGUCGGCGUUGGCCUCAAAGCGAAUGUCCAGGGCACCCUCGGGGGCAGUCAGACGACGACUACGGGGAACAAUAUUCCCAAAUGACCCACCCUCGACCAAGCCAACCUCCAGCUCUGAACGGGGGCGGGGUGAAGGAAUGAUAAGACUACAAGUGGUUCAACCGGCAAUGCCAAUGACACCAAGUUCACGAGUGCUACGGGCAGUGGGAGUGGGCAGGGCAGUUCUUCAGGUACAAAUACUUCCGCGGGGAAUCCUGAUGGGCUUCAGGCUGAUAAAGUUGAUCAAAACGGUCAGGUGAAAACAAGCGUUCAAGAAGCCACUUCAGGGGACAACUUGACGAAUUACACCAACCUCCCCCCCGCCAACCUCACCCCCACCGCUGAUUGACCGAACGCGCUGUCAUUCACCAACAAGAACAACGCGCAGCGCGCCCAGCUGUUCCUGCGCGGCCUGUUGGGCAGCAUCCCGGUGUUGGUUAAUAAGUCCGGCCAAGAUGAUAACAGUAAGUUUAAGGCGGAGGACCAAAAAUGGUCCUACACCGACUUACAGUCGGACCAAACCAAACUGAACCUCCCCGCUUACGGCGAGGUGAAUGGGUUGUUGAAUCCGGCGUUGGUGGAAACCUAUUUUGGGAACACGCGAGCGAGUGGUUCGGGGUCCAACACGACCAGUUCACCCGGUAUCGGUUUUAAAAUUCCCGAACAAAGUGGCACAAACACAACGUCGAAGGCUGUGCUGAUCACCCCCGGGUUGGCUUGAACGCCGCAAGACGUUGGUAACAUCGUUGUCAGUGGCACCAGCUUCAGCUUCCAGCUCGGCGGGUGGUUAGUUACGUUCACGGACUUUAUCAAACCCCGCGCUGGUUACCUCGGGCUCCAGUUAACGGGUCUCGAUGUAAGUGAAGCGACCCAAAGGGAGUUAAUUUGGGCCAAGCGGCCCUGAGCGGCCUUUCGUGGCAGUUGGGUCAACCGGCUGGGCCGCGUGGAGAGUGUGUGGGAUUUCAAGGGGGUGUGGGCGGAUCAAGCUCAGUUGGCCGCGCAAGCAGCUACAAGUAGUACCACCACCACCGCAACAGGGGCUACCUUACCGGAGCACCCGAAUGCCCUCGCGUACCAAAUUAGCUAUACCGACAAGGAUUCGUACAAGGCUUCCACUCAAGGUUCGGGUCAAACCAAUUCCCAAAACAAUUCGCCCUACCUCCAUUUUAUUAAACCUAAGAAAGUCGAAAGCACGACCCAACUCGACCAGGGCUUAAAAAACCUGUUGGACCCCAACCAGGUUCGCACCAAGCUGCGCCAAAGCUUUGGUACAGACCAUUCCACCCAGCCCCAGCCCCAAUCGCUCAAAACAACGACACCGGUAUUUGGGAGGAGUAGUGGUAACCUCAGUAGUGUGUUUAGUGGUGGGGGUGCUGGAGGGGGUUCUUCAGGCUCAGGUCAAUCUGGCGUGGAUCUCUCCCCCGUUGAACGGGUGAGUGGUCACUAACUAUUAAUAGGAACUUUUCUUAUUAAUAGGAACUUUUACUUUCAAAAAAGUUUUGAAGUUAUUUUGGUGUCUUUACCAACUUUAAGCAAUUUAGUGAACGAAUACCCAAAAAGUAUGAAAUUAGUUAAAUUAGCGAGGCUUCACCGCUUUUUAAAACAAGACCAAUUGCAACUUGUUCCUUUGUUUAGUCCAAACUUUUUGCAAGUUUUGUUGGCGCUUCUCAAUAAACUGGUCAAUUUAUUUAGUGAAAACACAACAAUGAAAACAAAUAAAAAAUACGCCUUUGCGGCGUUGCUAAUGCAAGCUCAAGCUAAGCUCCCAAAUUCAUUUAAAUUCUUUCUUUCAAAGAAAGGAGGUAUGGCUUAAUGAAAGAGAAAAUUCCGUUUUAUAACGAAAAAGAAUUCCAUGACAUGGUGAAAAAGACCAAAAAGGGCACUUUUUCAGGUUGAUAUAUCAUUGACAAAGAUAACAACAGUGUGGAAUUCUCUGGCAAAUUCAACAGACAAUUUAAACUUAACAAACCGGUUAUACCAGUGAACACGGAAUACGUAACGCGUAAAGAGUUUAACGAGUACAAAAACUCAAACGACCAACGACUUACAAAGAUUGAAACCACUUUGGCCGCCCAAGGUGAACAAAUCAACAAAUUGACUCAAACUGUUGAAAAACAAGGCGAGCAAAUCAAUCAAUUAGUUCAAGUUGUGCUUCUUCACGGUGAACAAAUCAACAAAUUAACUCAAACUGUUGAAAAACAGGGCGAGCAAAUUAAAGAACUUCAAAUCGAGCAAAAAGCUCAGGGCGAAACCUUAAAGCUAAUCUUGCAAACGCUGCAAAAGAUGAGCGAUCGCUUGGACAAGAUGGAAGUAAAAAUGGACAAAAUGGAAGUAAAAAUGGACAAAAUGGAAGUAAAAAUGGACAAAAUGGAAAAAAGAAUAGACAAACUUGAGUCCAAAUAACCAAUGCUCAGAAAUAAAAAUACCAACAGUGAAACCUAAAGAUGCGGCGCUGUUGGUAUUUUUUUCAAUUCACAUAAAUAAAAAAGCCAUCUGCCCAAGGUGAAAAAAACAGACGGCUUUUUGACGAUUUUGAAAUUAACAGCAAGUUGUAACUUUUAGUGAUUUGAAUGAAAGGAAUAUAUGACCUUUAUUCUUUUAAAAAAAGAGAUACAUCAAUUGUGCUGAAAGCCAUUGCGUUAACAUAAAUAAAUUAAGACAUAAAAAAUGAACACAUUAAUCAAAUAAGUGUGGGAACAGAAAAUUAGGCUUUCAACACAAAAUUUUCGUUUUCCUGCCCCCACUAAAUAAAUUGAGUUGGGUUUUAAAAAGCGUCAAAAAUUUUAAUUUAGUUUUUGCUACUUUCUCCUCCCCCUCACGGGUGAAAACCCCGGCGCUUGGGCCUUAGUGCGCGAUAACAUUGCCAAGGGCAUCACUGCCGGUAGUAACACCCAACAAACCACGUAUGAUCCCACCCGAACCGAGGCCACCUUGACCACCGCCACCACCUUUGCGUUACGCCGGUAUGACCUCGCCGGGCGCGCCUUAUACGACCUCGAUUUUUCGAAGUUAAACCCACAAACGCCCACGCGCGACCAAACCGGGCAGAUCACCUUUAACCCCUUUGGCGGCUUUGGGCUGAGUGGGGCUGCACCCCAACAGUGAAACGAGGUCAAGGAUAAGGUCCCCGUCGAGGUGGCCCAAGACCCCUCCAAUCCUUAUCGGUUUGCCGUUUUACUCGUGCCGCGUAGCGUGGUGUACUAUGAGCAGUUGCAGCGGGGGUUAGCGCUCCCUAACCAAGGGAGUUCGUCAGGCUCCGGUCAACAAAACACCACCAUUGGCGCGUAUGGGCUGAAGGUGAAAAACGCCGAGGCGGACACCGCGAAGAGCAAUGAAAAACUCCAGGGCUAUGAAUCCAAGUCUUCCAAUGGAUCUUCAAGCACUUCCACCACCCAACGUGGGGGUUCGUCAAAUGAAAACAAAGUCAAGGCGUUGCAGGUGGCGGUGAAAAAGAAAUCCGGGAGUCAGGGCAACUCCGGUGACCAAGGCACCGAACAGGUGGAACUUGAAUCUAAUGAUUUAGCCAACGCCCCGAUUAAACGAGGCUCCAAUAACAACCAGCAAGUCCAACUCAAGGCGGACGAUUUUGGUACUGCCCCUUCCAGUUCGGGAUCAGGCACCCAAGAUGGCACCCCCACCCCCUGAACGCCGUGGUUAACGACUGAGCAAAUUCACAACGACCCCGCCAAAUUCGCCGCCUCGAUCCUCAUUCUGUACGAUGCGCCUUAUGCACGCAACCGUACCGCCAUUGACCGCGUUGAUCACUUGGAUCCCAAGGUGAUGACCGCGAACUAUCCGCCCAGUUGAAGAACGCCCAAGUGAAACCACCACGGUUUGUGGGACUGAAAGGCGCGCGAUGUUUUGCUCCAAACCACCGGGUUCUUCAACCCGCGCCGCCACCCCGAGUGGUUUGAUGGCGGGCAGACGGUCGCGGAUAACGAAAAGACCGGGUUUGAUGUGGAUAACUCCGAAAACACCAAGCAGGGCUUUCAAAAGGAAGCUGACUCCGACAAGUCGGCCCCGAUCGCCCUCCCGUUUGAAGCGUACUUCGCCAACAUUGGCAACCUCACCUGGUUCGAGCAAGCGCUUUUGGUGUUUGGGAUUUGUUUGUCUUAAUUAACUAACAAAAUUAAUAAAUAGGUCUAUAGGUUAUAUUAGUACACCCCCUACACGCCCUUUACGACACCGCUCAAUGGGGGGCUGGAUGUAGUGAAGGCGGCCAAUUUACACCCCUCAUACGAACUCGUGGACUGAAAGCGGGUGGAGGAUACCAAGUUGGUGGCGCUGGUCCGUUCAGCGUUGGUCAGGGUGAAGUUUCAAGAUAGUUCGAGCCAACAAGGCACUGAGAGUAAUGGCCAAGACCAAAAUGCCCUUAGUUUUGAUACCACCAAGUCCCAACAAGCCUUACAGCAAGCUGGCGAUCAAUCAGGAAUUUCAUCUAAUUCCACCCAAGAAGACUUCGCCAGCUACAUCCUCAUCUUUAAAGCCGCCCCGAAGGCCACGUGGGUGUUUGAACGGAAGAUUAAGUUGGCGUUGCCCUACGUUAAGCAGGAAAGUCAGGGUUCCGACGAUCAGGUUCCAAUGGUAAGGGCUCCCUCUACAAAACCCUCCAAGACCUCCUCGUCGAACAACCCGUGACCCCUUACACGCCCAAUGCGGGGUUAGCCCGGAUGAAUGGGGUUGCUCAGGACAAGGUGCAUGGGUUGGAACAAACCACUCAAUGAAACCAACAAGCCUCCCAAAAAAACCUCACCAACAACCCCGCCCCCAAGGCCGUCACCGGCUUUAAGCUCGACAAGGGCCGCGCGUACCGGAAGUUAAAUGAAGCUUGACCGGUGUAUGAACCCCUGGAUUCGACGAAGGAUGGCAAGGGGAAGGAUAAAGAUGGGUGAACCACUUCCGGGGCGAGUGAGGCCAAAGGAGAUGCCCCGUUGGUGAGCUCAACCGAGAGUCAAAUGGCUGCAGUCACAGACAGUCAGCAAUCAGGUCAUAACAGUGGAUUGGUAUCGCUUGCCCAGCGCUCCACUACUGUUGCUGUCCAAAAAAGUGACUCUUCUGGUUCUCAAGGCCAAGGCACAACCGACAACAAAUUCCAAAAAUAUUUAAACACCGCCCAGGCCUUGCACCAGAUGGGGGUGAUAGUGCCAUCUUUGGAAACGUGACCUGGUAAACCAAGUACUGGAAUCGCUACCCGUGCUGGUGGUGGUGUUUCAGUCCAAGCAGCGACCCGGCAAUCGUCUUCUACAAAUGAAGAUCUGCCGAAUGUAAUAACACAGUUAUACCACACCUCCACGUCCCAACUCGCUUACUUAAAUGGCCAGAUCGUUGUGAUGGGUUCAAACGCGGUACCGAGUUUGUGGUAUUGGGUCGUGGAUGAGCGAACCACGUCCGGGAGGGCGACUUGAUGAGCCCACACCGAGUUGAACUGGGGCACCGACAAGCAGAAGCAGUUUGUGGAGAAUCAGCUUGGUUUUAAAGAUGACUCAAAUUCUUCCUUGACAAACUUCAAGAGUCAAGGCUUAACUCAGCCAGCUUACCUCAUCGCCGGCCUUGACGUUGUCCAAGACCACCUCGUCUUUGCGGCCUUCAAAGCGGGCGCGGUGGGGUAUGAUAUGACGACUGAUUCGAACGCUUCCACCAAAGACCAAGCGCUCGCCUGGUCGACCACGGCCGGGUUGGACAGUGCUGGGGGGUACAACAACCUGGUGGAAAACACGGCCGGACUGAACGGCCCGAUUAACGACUUGUUUACCCUGCUCGACACCUUUGCCUAUGUGACCCCGGUGAGUGGGAUGAAAGGGGGGAGUCAGAAUAACGAAGAAGUGCAAACCAAGUAUCCCGUUAAGGAUGAUAGUAAGGCGAGUGCAAAGAUUGCCUCCUUAAUUAAUGCUUCGCCCUUAAACAGUUAUGGGGAUGAUGGCGAUAAAAAAGCCAUCUACCCAGAGGUAAGAGGCAGACAGCUCCAAAAUAUUUUUUGAUGAUUGGAAAACUAACGCAAGGUGUUAGUUUGAUGUAGAGGCAAAACUAUGAAUUUACUAAAUUUUAUUUAAAUCAGCGGGAGCAGGCUCGUUUUUUCAACACAAGUCACUCUGUCUGCUCCCACUAAAUAAAUUGAGACAGAUGUUCAAAGUCGCCAAAGAGUUUGAAUAUUUUUGCAAUUUGGGUUUGUAAUCCCUUCUAACUAUUAAUAGGAACUUUUACUUUCAAAAAAGUUUUGAAGUUAUUUUGGUGUCUUUACUAACUUUAAGCAAUUUAGUUAGUGUAAGCACAAAAACCGUUAUGUGUAAUGUUUUUAUUAAUUUAGCAAAACAGCUGAACUUAGUUGGCAGCACUACUGCAAGUUGUAGUUUUCUCAACCUCUUUCAGAAAGGAGGUAUUGCUUAAUGAAAGAGAAAAUUUCCGAAAAGGAAUACAAAGCUUUAAUCCGUAAAACUGGCAAAGAGCACUUUGAUGGUGAAAAAGAAGAGUAUGGUGAUGGCACAGUUGGAGUUUGAACUUAUGAAUUGCGAAAAUAUAAACUUAAACCACCUGUGAAAGUUAAAUACGUAACCCAAGAACAAUUUCAGGAAUAUAAAGAUUCCAACAAUCAGCGACUCAUAAAGAUUGAAAAUAAGGUUGAUAAAUUAGUUGAAAUUGUUCAAAUUCACGGCGAACAAAUUAAAGCACAGGGAGAAACCCUGCAAUUAAUUUUGCAAACGCUGCAAAAGAUGAGUGAUCGCUUGGACAAGAUGGAAAAAAGAAUAGACAAACUUGAGUCCAAAUAACUAAAGCCCAGAAAUAAAAAGUCAUCUUAUCAAGGCGAAAGACGGACAUCUAAUGAAUUGAAAUCAAUUACUUAAUUAAAUAUUCCAAGUAAAUAAAGAGAUUAAUAUCUCUUGAGUAGCCGCUGGUAUUAUUAGCAUAGCUACUCAAAAAUUGUUUCACACUUUUUUGACUAACAUCAUCUUUGCCUUUUAUUAAUCAGCUAAGUGAAGCGCUAAACUCAAUUCACUCUAAAUUUCUUGUAAUUUCUUUUCCAUUAACUUUAUUUUUUUCUUCUUUAGUAAGAAAUUUUUCUGUAGUAAAUUGUUUUUUUGGAUCAGAAUUAGAUUUAAUUUUAAGGAAAAGAUCAAAAUAAUGCUUGUCACCUUUCUUAGCAGUGAAACCACCUAAAGAAUAAUCUCCAAACCAAUUAAAGUUAUAGCUCAACUUAGCUUCAAUUGACAAAUCCUUAAAACUUUGGUAUGUCAUUUGAAAAUGAUCAACCUUUCGCUCAAACUUAAAAGGUUCACUGGUUUUGGGAUAAAUUACAUCUUCAAAAUCAAGAUCCGGAAUACCUAAUUCGCCCUUUUCAAAACUCUGUUUUCAGGCGUCUAACAACAAUUUUGUUGUAUCUUUCGGAUUAACUUCGUAAGAUUUCUUUAAAGAAGUUAUUAUGUUCUUUUUUCCUUCUGUAGUUUUAAUUGCCUUGUAAACAUCAAUGUCUUUUUUGGUGGUUUCCUUGAUAAGAUUUCUGAGAUCUGCUUGGAUGCCAGUAUAGGCGCUUAAAACUGUUCCACAUAAUAAAAAUAGAGAACUAAAGGAAAUCCUUGACAACAAUCUCUUUUUGCGCAUCAACAGUAAAAAUAACUCUUUAAUUUUGUUUUUUUUUGGAAAAGCAACUUUAAAAACGGAAAGCUAAUUGAAAUUUCGGUUUGAACAUUAAUUAAAAAACUGAAAUUUUCAAUCAUUUAUUAACAACUAUCACUGAUAAACAUCUCGAUCUGAGUGGUUCUCAUAAUUGCCAAUUGUUGGUAUUUUUAUUCAUUUUCAAGCUGUAUAAAACUUUUUUGCAAUUUUGUUGGCACUUCCAAAAGCUCAUUUCAAUUUAUUUAGUGGAGGAGCAAAAUGCAAAUCUUUAAUUUUUGAAAUUGAUCAGUAAAGAAUCUGAUCCCUGUUGGCAACCGAGUUGCAAGCGUUAGUUACUUUUUAAAAAAUCAAAAGAAAGGAGGAUUUGACCAUUAAAAAAGUAAAGGUUACAGAGAAAGCUUCUGUUGAAAGAAUGAUAGAAGUAUUAAGUGAUUCUGAAAUUUUGUCUUAUUUAUUAAGUAAUAAGCACACUGCUGAUGGAGUUAAUGAAAUUUAUGUAACGAUGAACAUUAAAGACAAAGAUUCAAACACUCAAAGGAAGCCAGAUAAAAUGUCUUUAGAGCUUGAAUUGUUUUUAAAUCAGUUUAUUGAAUUCUUAAAAGAGCAGAGAAAAAGCUAGCAGCAUAAAAAUACCAGCAGUUAAUGCAUAGCUGUUGGUAUUUUUACUUAAGUUUUGACCAUUUUGAAUGGAUAAAAUUUCCUUGCAAAUAGAAAUUACAAACCAAAAACUAUAACAAAAUGAACUAAGCAAUUUUCAUCUUGGCUUUUUUCUUAUUUAAAAGAGAUUAAAUUUUCAUCUUAAAAGCUUUUAUUUUUACCACACAGGAUCUAAUAAAUUUCAAGAGUUAAACAAGUACAAACUUUGUUAAUAUUUCUCCAAAUUUCGGGUUUUUAGUGUUUAUGAAAUUUAAGUAUGGUGCCAUCUUUUUUAGUGGCUUUCUAGGUCUUUCUGCCAUUUUGGCUGCCUGUGGUACAAAGGGUAAAUUUGAUCAAGUUGAUGAUGGCAAGAUUAAAUUGGCUUCCUCUUUAACUUCUAAAAGUGCAUCAAAAGCCUUACAAGCAAUUGUUAAAAAAUAUAACGAAGUUAAAAAACCUGGUGAUUACCCUAUUGAAAUUACCCAAAUCGCUGGUGGUUAUGAUGGUGGUCGUAGCGAUUUACAAACCCGAGUCAACGUUAAAGACACCACUAACUUUUACAACUUAAUCUUAAACUACCCUGAUCUAGUUUCAACUUUAGGUCGUGUUGGUAUGGAACUGCCGUUUGACAAUGUAAAGGUUGACAAACUAUCACCCCGUUUUUUAGAUUUCAACAACCGCAUUAGUGCAAUUUCUAAACCAGGAAUUUACGGUAUUCCGGUUUCUUUAUCCACCGAAGUUUUAUCGAUCAACGGACCGGUGUUGCACUAUAUUUUGAACAACGCUAAAAAGAAAGAAGGUACUUUAAACCAAAAAAUGACAAGUUCUUCUGAAGGAAAAAACAGCAGUGGCACUUUAACAGUAGCAACUGAUACUGAAACAAGUAGUUUAUGGAAAAAGAUAGAAGAUUCUGCAAAAGCUAACGGUAAAAGCGAUGAAAAAGGAAAAGGUAAGAAGAAAGAUAAUAAAAGUGCAACUUUUUCGCUUGUACAACUAAAACAAACUCAAGAAAAAACAGAUGAUUCCCAAGACACUAAAAAUAGUGAUGAUCAAGUUAAAAAAUCUUGAGGCGAAUACCAAGAAGUAGAUGGUGUUCUUAAAAAUUUUGAAUUUAAAGCGAGCAUCUUCGAAAAUUGACAUGACUUACUUGAUUUUUCUACUAGAGUAGCUAAAUCUUUUAAGAAGAUACACGAAAAUAGCAACAAAAAAGGUAAUGACAUUCAGGGCAUACUUGGAGUCGACAGUACGCCCAACUCAUUGUUUACCUCUGUUUUUGCAGCUGGCGGCGGUGAUUACAAUAAUUUCUUUUACAAGAUUGAAAAUGGUCGCGCUGACUUUAGUAACUUUAAGAAUAAAGGGACUUCUUACCAAAAUCUUCAAAAAGUAUUUGGUGAUUUCAAAGGCUUAAUUGACAAAAAUGGUAUCUUUGUGAAUAAGGGUGGAUCUUACUCAUCAAACUUCCAAAAGUUCCACCAAUUAGCUUACAGCAUUUCCUCUACUUCCGGUUUCUUCUAUUCGUUUGCCGGUAAAAGUGCAAAGCGUUUAAAUUUUGGUGAUAGCUUUAUUGAGUAUCCGCGGUUUACUCAAGAAAUUAAAGCACCAUCAAAAAAUGGAGAAAAUGGCCAAACAAAUGAAGGAAAUAGUACCAAUGGCGAACAAAAUCUCUUAGGAACUUUCGAAGUCAAGGAUGACAGUAAGCCUAAAGAAGAAGUUAAAAGUAAUAAAAAUAGUGGUAAAGAAAGUAGCCAAAAUCAGGGUAAAAAAUCUAACAAUAACAAGACUAUUUACCUUUAUGAAACAAAAAUUCCAGAUGGAAAAACUGCAGGUGAUAAUGCUAUCUUAAUCAAAGAUAAGAACGUUAUCGAAAAGCUUAAAAGUGCAGCUAAAGAAGAAAAUAAAGAACAAACUGCUGAAGCAACUAAAGCUGCAAUUACAAGUAAUAAAGCAAAAAGCACUAAAAAAGAAAGCAGUAAAGUUAUCGGUUACACCACAACUGAUAGUGUUCGCGAAGAUGGCAAAAACAUUUUCGCAAUAGAUAGAGUUAAUGGUGAAAACUAUGACCGUAAGAUUAUUGUAGGUGCUAAAGCAGAAACUUUAAACCAAUCUAGCACCUUACAAAGUGAAGAAGCGAUUGUUUUGCCUGCCCCUGGAAAGUAUCUAAAUGGUGAUCCCAAGAAAGUGACAAUUACCCAAGGACCUAACAUCAUUGGCAUUCAUGCUAACGAAAAGGAAAAUGCAGAAACGCAAAAGUUCGUAGAUUGAUUCUUAAACAGUCCGCAAACUUGAGAAAAACAAAGUAGAGAUAAGAAAGGAUCAAGCGAAAAACAAACUGCUGCUGAGUUCUUUGCGGAAUCCGCUUCUUACAUUCUGCCCUUAAAAGAAAUCUUUGACAAAAACGAUACAAAAACAGAAAAAGGUAAGAACAGUAAAACGCAACAGAGAACUAAUACCUAUGCUGAAAAAGCUUUGGAACUCUUCAAACAAAUUAGUCAAAAUCAAAUAGUAAGCUACAGUGAUCCAAGUGACUUUAGGAGUGGAAAAUUCCGUGAUGCAAUUGGUGCUACUUUCAAUGCUGCAGUUAGUUCCAAAGCAGACUUCAAUAAAUUCGUCCAAAACUUUACCGCUACAUUAGGUAGUGACAUUUAAUUCAAAAGCAGUUUUUCAAAAUUCUUGAUUUACCUUUAAAAGUAUCAGCAACACAAUAAAAUUAACUGUUUGCAAGAGCUCUUUUAAAGCCUUUUAAAAGAAAUUAAACUUUUAUUGUUGUGCAAAUUAGGACUUACAAAAUCAAAGAUAUUUGCGACAUUCAACGUGGUCGUGGUAUCACUAAGGAAUACAUUAAAAAUAACUCUGGAAAAUAUCCUGUUUAUUCUGCCGCUACUACCAAUAACGGUGAGUUAGGUUUUAUUAAUACUUACGAUUUUGCUGGUGAAUAUGUUACCUGAACCACUAACGGCUAUGCUGGCGUUGUUUUCUAUCGUAAUGGCAAAUUUAGUGCAUCACAAGACUGUGGUGUUUUAAAAGUAAGAAACAAGGAAAUUAACGCUCAAUUUUUAGCUUUUGCUUUAAGUUUAAAAACACCUCAAUUUGUCCAUAAUUUGGGAUCAAGACCUAAAUUAAACCGAAAGGUGGUAGCUGAAAUCUCCUUAGAUUUUCCACCUCUAGAAGUUCAAGAAAAAAUUGCUCAUUUUCUCAAAUCUUUUAAUGAAUUAAGCAGCCAGUUAAAAGCUGAAUUAAUUAAACGACAAAAGCAAUACGCAUUUUACAGUGAUUAUCUACUCAAUCCUAAACAUUCACAAGGUGAAGAAUACAAACUCUUUAAACUCAAAGAUAUAGCUAAAAAGAUUUUAGUUGGCGGUGAAAAGCCAAGUGAUUUCCAAAAAGAAAAGGAUCAAGUUUAUAAAUACCCUAUUCUUUCUAAUAGUCGCAAAGCAGACGAUUUUUUAGGCUACAGCAAAACGUUUAGAAUUGCUGAAAAAUCAAUUACAGUUAGUGCAAGAGGCACAAUUGGUGCUGUUUUUUACCGUGAUUUUUCCUACUUACCCGCUGUUAGUCUAAUUUGCUUUAUUCCUAAGCCAGAAUUUAAUAUUAAUUUUUUGUUUCAUGCUUUAAAAGCGACUAAAUUCCACAAACAAGGUUCUGGCACAGGACAGUUAACCAUGGCACAGUUUAAAGAAUAUCAGGUUUAUAUUCCAUCUUUAAAAAAACAACAAGAAAUUGCUGCCACUUUGGAUCCACUUUACUAUAUCUUUGCAAAUUCUAAUUGAGGAAUAUACAAAGAAAUAGAAUUGCGCAAAAAGCAAAUGCAAUACUAUCAAGAACGUUUGUUUCAGUGAAUAGAAAACCAAAAAGUUUAAUUACUAGUUAAUUUUAUCCGUUUAGAUUUAAGCGCUUAAAAGAACAAAGUGUAAAUAGCUGGCUAGAUCAACUACCGGUGGUUUGGUAGCUCCGGUGACUAGUUCUAAAUCAUGCAAGUUUUGUCCUCUCAAUAAAUUCAUAAAGUUUGGAUCGGCAACUGAAAUCUGUUCUUUGACAUACAAUGUAAAUAACAAUUCAUCCUUGUCAUUAAACUGGAAGAGAGAACCAGGAUAGUCUUUUUUAGCAACGGUGUAAACUGGAAUUGAUCCAUCAACAAUGAACUUUAAGUUCAUUUCACCACUUCAAGAGCUUGGGAAUUUAGUAAAUAAAGCUGCAAAAGCAUAGAAACCAUACAAUUGGUAACCACCGGUAUAUUUAAUGUCCACUUCAAAUCGAUAAUUAAAGGGAUUAGCUUUAUCUUGUUUUAUUCCAACACCAUCUAUUCAAUUAAUGGUUGGACUUUCAAUUUUAUUUUGAACUUUUAAUUCCUUAAUCUUUAGAUUGAUGUUGGAUUUGCUAGUAAGUUCACCGCGCAAUCAAUCGGACAUGUAAAUUCCAUUUAAACCAUCUUUAGGGAAUUGGAUUCCUUGACUACCAAAGGCCUUUUGCUUCGCAUCGUUAUUUUCUUUUUUAGCGUUGUAAUACCAAUCAAUGGCAGUUCGAAAUCCAGCAAUUAAGAAACUGAAAGUUCUGUUUCUAUCUGCUUCCAAGGAAAUUUUUAAAGCCUCUGCUAACUGUUUUUUAUCAGUGACAUCUUUGUUCUUCUUACUUCAAUAUUGUUUGAAUUCUGAUGCAGCUGUUAGAGAUUUGUUAAAAGCUUCUCUUUCUGCUUCGAGUUUUUUAACUUCCUCUGCUUUUGCUUUGGCCUCUGCUUCUUGAAGUUUACGCUCCUCUUCUAGUUUCCUUAACUUUUCAACGUGCUCAGCAUGUGCUUUUUCUCUUUCUUGCUUGAAAGAAUUGAGUACUUUUUCCCUAAAUUUAGUUGCAACAUCUGUUUGGUUAUUUAUUUCAAUAACUGAUUCUGUCAGGUUAACUUUAGUAUCAAAUAAAGAAUCACCUAAAGCAGUUUGAGCAAGUGUAGUUAAAUCAUUUGUGCCGUUUGAAAUUAGCUUAUGCACUGAUGGUUUUCAAAACAGUUGGGUAUUUAAAUCUUUACCAGAUUGUCAGAAACUGUCUUGUAAAUCUGUUAGAUUGGCAAAAUUAGUAGUGGAUGCGUUGAGUGCAAACUGUAAAUCUAUCGUGCUACCAUCACCUUCAUAAAUAGUUGCAAAAUCCAUUUUGAUGGAAAAACUAUAACAAACUUUGCCCUGAAUGACUAUGUCGUUUUUUCGCUCUAAAUUUAAAUCAAAGUUUUUGAGUGCAAUCGACUUAAGGUUAUAUUGAUCGAAUAAUGCAGCAAUAUUGUCAGCAAUCUUUAAACCCUUUGGAUGUAAUUGCGGAAAGAAACCAUCACCAAGUAAACCAAAAAGCUUUUGUGACACUUUAGGAAUUUUAGUGCUGUCGGAAACAGGAAACACAGCAUUAGCUGCAUUUAUUUCUGCUUGAAGUUGAUUCAUUAAAUUAACCGUGUUUUGCACACUUUGUUUAAAACCACUAAGAAGGUUAUAAACAUCAAUUAAACCUAAUGUUUUUGGACUUAAAGCUUGUUUGACAAAGUCCUUUUCAAAUUGUUCAAAGUUGUGCUUUCAAUCCUUAUUUUUCGCUAUUACAGCUAACUCUUCCUCACUAAAAGUAGAUGCGUUAGCAAGAUUGACCAAGUAGCUGUCAUUAUGGGCUCUAGCUAAACUUUUAUUGUGUAGUGCUAAAGUAUUAAUGUCAGCACUAGAACCUUUUUGAGUUAAUGUAGGAAAUAAAAAUGCGCCUAAAGUUACAGUAGUGGUACAAAAAGCCAGCAAAAACGCUUUUGUUUUGAAGCGAAUUUUUUUUAGUUGCUUUCAAUUUAGUUGAGAAAUAAGCUAACUAAAUUACUUAUUAAACUAACGAAAUCAAUUAAGAAUUAACUUUCAACCACAACAAAGUACUACAACAAACAGGGAAAAUGUAAUUUGUACGUAGUAUUUUAGUUCUUUCUUGUGAAAUAUUGCAAAAGUUAGCUAAAUCGAAAUUAGCUCUUAUCCGCUAAAAUGAGAAAGUGGAGGUAGCUCGCUAAGUCUACUACUGGCACUUUAAUGUCACCACCUCAAGGCUCUAAUACAUCGAGCUGUUGUUUCUUCAAUAAUCCUUUAAAGCGUUGAUCCUGUACAUUAAUCCACUGAGUAAUGUGUAGAGUAAAUAACAGCUUGUCAUCCCUAAACUGGAAUAAGGUUCCAGGAUAGUCCUUUUUGGAAGUAAUUCAAUCUGCUAAUUGUCCGUCAACAUUGAGCACUAAUUCCAUUUCACCCUUCCAUUCUGGAGGAAUUCCACCAAGUCCUCAAUUUGCUAAAGUUCAGUAAAUACCUUUAAGUCCAUAAUCACCGGUGUAUUUCAUUCUGAUUUGGAAAGCAUAUUUAAACGGAUAGGUUUGUCUAAACUCAAUACCGUUCUUGGCUUCAUUUCAGAAAAUUUGUUUUGGUACACCCCAACCAUUAAUGUCAUUGUGAAUAUCUUUUGUAGUUACCGAUUGCAGGUUCAACUUUAAGUUAGCUCUGUGUUUUAGCUCUCAGCGUAACCAGUUAGGGAUAAAGAUUCCAUCAACACCUAGUUUUGGUAAUUCAAUGCCAACAUCACCAAAGGCUUUUUUCUUGGAAUCUUGAUCAUCCUUUUUGGCGUUGUAGUACCAAUCAACAGCAUUUCUAAAAGCAUCGGUAAGGAAAAUAAAAGUUCUGUUUCUAUCAGUCUUAAAGGCCAGUUUAAGUACUUCAAUAAGUUGCGAUUUAAUUUCAACGUUUUUACCUUUUCCUUUUCAGUAAUCUUUAAAACUUUUAACGUUAUUGAAUGAACUAAGAAAGCGUGUUUUUUCCCUAAUUAACUCUUGAACUUUCUUUUCUUUACCUUUAAGUUCUUCUUCAAGCUGUUUACGUUCACGUUCUAAACGCGCUUGUUCUUCAUCAUGAAUGCGUUUUGCUUCCUUACGUUGUUCAAUGAAUGGAUUGAGGAUGCGUUCCUCAAACGAUUUGCGAGCUUUAGUUAAAACCGUUCCAUCAAUUACUGAAUCAGUUAAGUUAACCUUAAGAUCAAACAGGUUUUCACCAAUCGCUGUUCUUGCAAUUGUGGUUAAGUCAUUGCCCUCAUCAGUAAUUAAUUUAUCUAUUACUGGUUUUCAGAACAAUUGGGUUGAGAGUGUUUGACCACUAUUAGUAAAACUUUCACGUAAUUCCUCUAAAGAGCUAAAGUUAUUCGUUUGAGCUUGCAGAGCAAAAUCAAGGUCAAUUUUGGUAUUUUUGCCAACAUAAACGGUGUGAAAUUUCAUUUCGAUGGCAAAACUAUAGCGCACCUUGUUCUUUAAAACAAUGUCGUUUUGUUUGAGCAACUGCAAGUUAAACGCUUUUAACUUAAUUGAAUUUAAGUUGUAGUCAUUAAACAAAGAAGCAACCGUAUCACUAAUAUUUAAACCACGUGGUGUUAAUCUUGGGAAGUAAUCUUCACCAAAAAAACUAAAGAAACCUUCUGGUACUUUAGGGAUCGUGUUUUUGUCCUCUACGGGAAAAAUCUCGUUAGCCGUAUCCGCCCGUUUUUGUAAGUUGUUUGCUAAAUUUACUAAAGCUUGGGCUUUUUGUUGAAACCCACUAAAGAGGUUAUAAACAUCAAUGAGAGUAAAAGCUUGGGGAUCAAUAAGUUGGUCAGCAAACUUAUUUUGGAACUCGCUAAAGUUUUGUUCUCAAUCAGUGCGACUUGUAAUCGUUUCGAACUCGGUUUGACUAAAAGACGAGUUGCGCUGCAAUAAGUAACUCUUGUUGUGUCGCUUAUCAAAGCUACUGCUAUUUAAAUUAACAGCACGUGGAUCAUUAGCUGAACCGUUCUGUGAUAAGGUGGGUACUAGAAAAACGCUAAAAGUUAGCGUUGCUGAAAAUAAAGACAGCAAAAACGCUUGCGUCUUGAAGUGAAAGUUUUUCGAAGAUUUCAAAGAUUCUUGUCAGUGUGACUAAAAGAAAUAAAUUAACUUACAGGUUACGAAAUGCAGACAAAAUAAAAGAAGCAACGGAAAAUUUAAAUUCAGAAAAUUCUAGUUUUUUUUUUUUUUAGUUUGAACUCAAAACGGGUUGGUGAAAGAAACUGCAAUAAGCUGUUGUAAAUAACUUUAACUAAGUUAAAAACUGUUUCAAACUAACCAAGCUUACUUUUAGUGUGCCUUAUUGGAAAUUAAUGUUGGCUUAAUUAUUUAUCUGCCAAAAUUAAGAAGUGGAGGUAGCUCGCUAAAUCCACAACUGGUACUUUAAUUUCACCACCUCAAGGUUCAAUCACAUCCAAUUGCUGUUUCUUUAGCAGGUUCAUGAAACGUUAAUCCUUAACGGUAAUACGUUGCACUACGUGUAGGGUAAACAACAGUUUGUCAUUUUGAAAUUGGAAUAACGAACCAGGGUAAUCUUGCUUUUGGGUAAUCCAGUUAGCUAGCUUACCAUCAAUUUGGAACUUCAAUUCCAUGUCACCACUCCAUUCUGGCGGAAUGCCACCAAGACCCCAGUUAGCCAAAGUUCAGUAAAUCCCUUUUAACCCAUAGCUACCUUUGUAAUUCAUGGUUAUUUCAAAACCAUAAGUUCAAGGAGUGGUUGCUCUGUAAUUAAUGCCGUUGUUGUGGUCGUUCCAAUUAAUCGAAACAGGCACACCUCAACCAUUAACCUCAAAGUUGUUUUCCCUUACUUUGACAUUUUGUAAUUGAAGUUGAAUAUUAGCUCUGUUGAUUAAUUCCCAACGUAACCAGUUAGGCAUAAAGAUGCCGUUAAGACCUGAUUGAGCAAAGGAAAUGCCGCCGCUACCAAAUGCUGUACGUUUUGCUUCUUCAUCGUGUUUUUUAUGGUUGUAAUACCAAUUAAUAGCAUUCCUAAAGGCAUUGGUUAACAGUUCGAAAGUAGGGUUCUGCUUGGCUUGGAAGGAAAGCUUUAAGGCUUCGAUUAGUUGCUUCUUGUCUGCUACAUUUUUACCGCGCUUAGCUCAGAACUCCUUAAAACUCUUAACGUCUCUAGUAGAUUGGUAAAAGGCUCAAUGUUCUUCACGAAUACGACGAGCUUCAUCUUCCUUGGCUUUCAAUUCAGCUGCAAUCCGUUUUCGUUCCGCCUCUAAGCGUCUUGCUUCUUCAUCAUGAAUGCGCUUAGCUUCAACUCGUUCAGCGUGGAACGGAUCUAAGAUCUUGUCCUCAAAUGAUUUUUGCGCUUGCUGUAAAACGCUUUGAUCAAUUAUUGAAUCAGUUAAGUUAACCUUGAGGUUAAACAAACUUUCACCAAUUGCUGUUUUAGCAAUGUUGGUAAGAUCAUUGCCACCAUCUGUGGUUAAUUGUUCUACCACUGGCUUUCAGAAUAGAUGGGUUGAAAGAGUGUUGCCAUUGUUUUCAAAACUAUCACGUAGUUCUUGUAAGCUAGUGAAGUUUAUUGUUUGGGCUUGUAAACUAAACUUUAAAAUAGUGGUGUUCUUUCCAGCGUAAACCGUGUCAAAGCCCAUUUGAAGAGCGAAGUUGUAACGCACCUUAUUCUUUAAAACAAUGUCGUUUUGGCGCAACAGUUUUAGGUUAAAACCAGUAAAGUCAAUUGAAUUUAAGUUGUAGUCAUUAAACAAGGAAGCCACAUUAUCGGCAAUGUUCAAACCACGGGGAGUUAACCGCGGAAAGUAAUCUUCCUGAAAGAAACUAAAGAAGUUUUCCGGCACUUUAGGGACAGUAAGCAUUGUCCUCUACGGGAAAGAUUUCGUUUGCCGCAUUAACUCGUUUUUGCAAGUCAUUGGCUACAUUAACUAAACUGCGUGCUGUUUGUUCAAAACCACUAAAGAGGUUGUAAACAUCUGUAAGUGUAAAAUGCUCUGGGUCAAUUGCUCGUUGGGCAAACCGUUUUUGGAAUUCACCAAAGUUUUGCGCUCAGUUAGUUUGCUUGGAAAGGUUUUCAUACUCAGCGUUACUUAAAGCAGUUUGCGCUUCAAUAAGAAUUUCUUACUGUUAUGCUUUUCAAAGCUACUGCUGUUUAAACUUACAGUUUGUGGAUCAGUAGCUGAGCCAUUUUGGGAAAAAGUGGGUACCACAAAAACACUAAAAGUUAGUGUUGCUGAAAGGAGCGAAAGCAAAAAUGAUUGCGUCUUGAAGUGGAAACUUUUAGUUGGUUUCAAUGUAAAGGUGUCAGUGUGACAGAAAAAGAUUGGUUUACUUUUAAAAAGUGAAAACUAAGACGACAGGGAAAAUUUAAAUUUAAUAAAUUUUAGUUUUUUCACCGAACAAAAAACGGUUUCAUCGGAAAAUGAAGCAUAAACGGCUCAAACAACUUUAAGAAUGUUUAAUGAUGCCUUGAUUACUGUUGAUUUAACUUCAACAGUUGGUAGUGUAAAUAACUCGCUAAAUCCACUACUGGCGGCUUUGUGGACUCGGUACGUAGUUCUAAGUUAUGGAGGUUUUGUGACUUAAUUAAUUCCAUGAAUUCUGGCUCUUGCACCGUAAUUUUUUCUCACACAUGGAGCUUAAAUAACAGCUGUUGCUUUUGAUCAUCAAACUGGAACAACGAACCUGGGUAAUCGGGCUUUUGGACAAUCUCUCAACUUAAAUCACCAUCAACAAUAAAUUUUAAAUUCAAUUUACCCUUUCACUCUCCGGGAAUACCAGAAAACUUGGCAAUAAUGGCUUCUAAUCAACUUAAUUUGUAAUUACCUUGAUAUUCAAUGUCAAUCUCAAAGCGGAAGUUGUAAGGUUUGUCUUGAUUUCGCUUAAUACCGAUAUCUUUGUUCCAUUUAAUGGUAGGACUUAUCUUUGAAUCAGUUACCUUUAAGCUCUUUAUGUCUAAGUUAAUCUUGGCCUUUUCCCCUAGCUGUUUACGCAACCAUUCCGACAUAAAGAUGCCCUUUAAACCAGAUUGGGGAAAGGCGAUACCUUGUGUACCAAAAGCAGUUUUAGCAGCCUCACUUUGAUCUUCUUGGUCAUUUGGGUAAUAAUUGCUAAUACCGUCCUGGAAGUUCUUAAUCAAAAAGGCAAAGGUCUUAUUUUGUUCUUUGGCAAAGGAAAGUUUUAAAGCUUCUAACAGCUGCUUUUUAUCGGUAACAUCUUUCUUUUGCUUUUGCCAGUAUUCUUUAAAGGCUUGCACUGACUCAAGCGAUUUGCUUACUUCUGCUAGCUAUUCAGCUUCCUUUUGUUUUUGUUUUAAUUCUUCGAGCUGUUUUUGGCGUUGCUCCUCUAAGACUUUUUGGUGUGCUUGGUGUUCCGCUAGUGCCUUUUGCCGUGCUUCAAUGAACGGUUUUAAAACAGUUGCUUCAAACCUUGAUUCAGCCUCUUUUAGCACGGUUUGAUCCAAAACUGACUUGGUUAAAUUAGCUUGGGUGGUAAAUAAAUUAUCACCAACAGCUGCUUUUGCUACAGUUGUUAAAUCAUUGUUAUUACCCAACACUAACCGCUUGACCGUUGGCUUUCAAAAAAGUUGUGUAGUUAAGUUCUGGCCACGUAAAACCAAGCUGUCUUGCAAUUCCUGUAAGUUAGCAAAAUUAGUGGUCAUUGCCUUAACUGAAAAAGCUAAGUUGGUUGUACUGUUUACACCCGUAUAAACUGUUUCAAAAUCUCAUUGGAUUACGAAGCUGUAACGCAUCUUGUAGCGCUUCACAAUGUCCGGUUGUUUUUCUAGUUUCAGAUCAAACUGCUUUAACGCAAUGCUUUGAAGUUUGUAUUGUUGCAAAACUGUCGUAAUAUUCUCAGUCACAUUUAAACCCUUAGGGGUUAAUUGAGGAAAGAAAUCACUACCCAAAAUGGUAAACAACUGUUCGGGUACUUGGGGCAAUUGAAAUGCCUCGUGCACCGGAAAAACGGCAUUUGCUAGUAAUACCUUUGCAUUUAAGUCAUUAAUUAACUUAACGGUAUCACGCGUACUUUGUUCCAAUCCACUCAACAGGUUGUAAACAUCAAUCACACCCAACUGUUGUGGGUUAAGCGAAUUGUCCUUAAACUUAGUUUGCAACUGUUCAAAGUUAGCCUUUCAGUUAGUGUGUUUGGUGGUGUAAUCCAGGUCAGCUUGACUAAUACCAGAAUUAAAUUGCAACUGGUAGCGGUUGCUUUGGUUUUGUUCAAAGCGUUGGUUGCUUAAGGUAAAGUCACUAACUGACUGGUUUGUUUUUUCAGUUAAAGUCGGUCAAACAACGAUAGCUAGAGUAGUUGUUAAACCAGCUAAGCUUAACGAUAACGUUUUGAGAAGUAAACGUUUCUUUUUAAUUAAUUUCAAGUUUGGUUAAAAACGGUUUAACCAAAUAGUUAAAUUACUAACCGAAAUGAAUUAAAGCAACUACAACAACAGAAAAAUUUAAUGCGUUAAUAAUUGUAGUUUUUGUACUUUACUGUGUUGACAAUCAACUGUUAAAAACAAAUAAUACUGUUAGCUUUUAUCGAUUUGUUGCACCAGCCAGUCUUUGAUUUCGCCAUAAUAACUAGAGAUACUGCGCACUAGUGCUUGACCCACUUUUAAACUUUUAAUUUCACUAGCACAGGUAAUAUCAACCCCAUACAGGUUAGCCACUUCUUCUGCUUCCAUCAUGUCAAUUAAGCGGUGGGCAAUUAGGGUACUGGUGUUGUUAAUAAUCUGUGAUUUAAAGUUAUCACCACCAAUAUUGCGCAGGUUAGCAAAUGAUUGAUAGGACAGGAUAACUACAGUAUUGAACGAGCGGACUUGCUCCAAUACCACCCCCACAUAGUGGCUCCCAAAAUUACCAAAUUCAUCAGCAAUAAAAAAGGUCGAGUUAUCACUCGUUUCUUCCAAACUCGUAAUUGUUUGGCCAAAAUCCAAAAAGAUUAACUUGCCCAAGUACUUGGCAUUAAUCAUGUCGUACAUGCUGCUAAUGGAAAACAAAACAGCAUCUUGGCAGUUUGAUAAUAUCUAUCAAUCCCACACCAUUAGAAUCGAUUGAACCAAUUUCCGCUAGUUCCCUGAGGUUUUCUCUUAAAUUUUCAAAGUCCUUUGUGUCAAUGGUUUGAACAUGCUCCGUAUAGUAUUCAUAAAUUUUUUCUACAAAAAUUUGAUUGGAAGGUUGAAAGCGACCUUUUUCUUUCAUUUCUAAAAUUUCUUUUCGGCGUUUUUCUUUGUGAAUUUUUUUAAACAAACUGGGUUCAAAUUUAGCAAAAAUAUCAAAGUCACGUAGUAAUACUUCAUUUGUCCUUUGCUACAGUAACGCGCUAAAUUCUUAAAACUCAAAUUGUGGGGACCUUCCUUUGCAAUUACUAAAGGUACUAAAACUUGCAAAAUGGCCUUCUUAUUACGUCAAUAAUAAGCACUGUCCUUGGUGUUUUCCACCAUAUCGUUAUAACCAAACAUUUCCAAGAUUAAAGUAAUGAUUUGUUUGGGUGUUUUUUACUUAAACGGGUUGUACUUAAUCGUGGCAAUUCUGUCAUCUAAGCUCCAAAUUUUGGCACUAGUAUUUUUGAGUGCCACUAACUUAACCGUAUCAAAACCGUCUUCGGGACUUAGUUGUUUGGCGCUCGUUUGGUAGUGUUCAAACUGGGUAAUUAAUUCCUUAUCACCCUUACCAUUCACAAAAAUUAAGGGAUGGUCGUUGUCAAUUGCAUACUUCAAAAAGUGCAGCAAGAUAUUGGACUUACCAAAACCACUCACACCUAGUACCGAGACGUGCUGAGGGAGCUUGUCCAGUUCCAAAAAACACUCCUCGUUUAAAAAGAUUUUCUUACCAGUCUGGUUAUUGAUGUCCUGUUCCAUUACUAAAAAAUAAUUUGUACUGCAACUUCAAAGUUAACUUAUUCUAAUUUUGCUAGAUCAUUGGUUUCAUUCACAGUUUCCCAACUUAGUUUUCACUGUUCAAACAAUUAAAAAAGCACCAGCUAGUGCCAGUGCUUCUUUAAUCGAUAGUUUAGUGGUUUUUAAUACUCCUCUUGAACCGUUUUGGCACCGAGGUAGGCCAAUUCUUCAUCGGUUAAAAACCCAGUACCAGCCGGGAUCUUACCCCCAAUGAUCACGUUUUCUUUCAACCCUAAGAGGUAGUCAACUUGGGUUUUUACCGCAGCAUCGGUCAAGAUCUUCUUGGUGUCUUGGAAGGAUGCGGCACUCAAGAAGGAGUUCGACUUGCUGGCCGCCUCAUCGAUCCCAAACACCUGGUUAAUGGCAAUCACUGGCAUCUUCCCCGACAGCAACAAGCUCUUGUUGAGUUCAUUGAGGUGGUGACUGUGUACCAGUUGACCCACAAACAGGUUACUGCUGCCAGCAUCGGUUACUUGGAGUAAGCUCGUCAACUGGCGGAUAAUAAUUUCGACAUACUUAUCAGCAAUCUCAAUCCCCUGAAUACGGUACACCUUUUGGAUUUCGACAAUCAUGUACUGGCGUACCCGUUGGAUCCCAGCAACCCGUAAUAACUGGCGAAUGUCAAUCGAACCUUCGGUAAUCUUCGAACCUAGUUCUACUGCAUCACCGACCUUGACACGCAGUUGCGCACUAAACGGAAUCGAGUAAGUGCGUUCAUCGACACUAGAUUCAAUCAACACUUCCUGCGCGUUUUGGGUGGUAGUAAUCGAUUUAACUACCCCCUUAACUUCAGAAAUGACACAGCGCUCGUAAUCCUUAGGGGCGACUACUUCAAAGAUUUGCUUUAAACGUUCAAACCCUUGGGCCAAGUUGUUUUCGGUCGAAACCCCCCCGGUGUGGAAGGUACGCAUCGUUAACUGGGUUCCUGGUUCACCGAUCGAUUGCGCUGCAAUUACACCCACAGCGGUACCCAAUUCCACCAGUUUGCCGGUGGACAAAUCGACCCCGAAACAGUACUGACACACGCCGUUUUCGCGUUCACAGUAAAUCACAGAGCGCACUAACACUUGUUUAAUCGAAGUGGCACAAAUUUGCUUGGCUAACUCUUGGGUAAUUAGGCUGUUAGCAGGGACAAUUUCCGCCUUGGUUUCGGGAUCUAAAAUUGGUCCAAUCGUGUAACGGUUGACAAUGCGGUCAAACAGUGAUUCCACCAACGAACGGGUUUUGGUUUCCACAAUUGCUUCGACCACAAUUCCCUUGCGUGUACCACAGUCAUCGUGGUUAAUAAUCAAUUCGUGGGUUGCAUCCACCAGUUUACGGGUCAUGUAACCAGACUUAGCCGUUUUCAUGGCGGUAUCGGUCAUCCCCUUACGCGCCCCAUAAGAUGAGUUGAAGUACUCGUUAAUCGUUAAACCUUCCAGGAAGGAGUGCUUAAUAGGAACCUCAAUCGUGUCCUUAAUAAUUUUGGACUGGUUGUUGCGUUCAUAGUUAAAGCUCUUACUCAUUAACCCCCGCAUCCCAAACAGCUGGGUAAAGUUGGAGAUAUUACCCCGCGCCCCGGAAUCGGCCAUGACAACAAUCGAGUUAUCACGGUACUCUUCACGUUUAAUUAAGUCCUGGAUCUCACUCGACACCUUUUCCUUCACACCGUUUCACAGUUUCACCACCCGUUUAUACCGUUCAUCAUCGGUCAGUAAACCCUUGUUGUAAAACUGCUUGUACUUCAAGACCUGUUGGUCCGCUUCAUCAAAGUACUGCUGUUUGUUGGAGUACUUCGGAAUAUCAAACACCGAUACAGUGGUGGAAGAGUGGGUCGAGUACUUAAAGCCUAAGGCCUUAAUGUUUUCCAAGAUCCGUGGUAGAUCCUUAAAUUCAACCACCGUGUAAAGUAAGUCAAUUAACUUGGAGAUGACCUUCUUACCAAAGGCAGGGAGCACUUGGUGUGCGGCAAUCGCAGCACGCACAUCACCACUUGGUGGUACUAUGAACUUUUGCGGACACGCAUGUUCAUCAAAUUCCCCUUCAUUAAUGUAAGGGAUGUUGUCCCCUAACACAUCGUUAAAGAUAAUCUUACCAACCGUAGUGAUUAGAGUACCUUGAGCUUCAAAGUGCUUGUUUGGAAAGGCUUUGGUGCUAAUGCCGACAAUGGCGUGGAGGUGCACCUUGCCCGCUUCGUAUGCCGCGCGGGCUUCAUGCACGGUACCAAAGAUGAUGCCUUCACCCGUUUGACCCUUACGCUCAGUAGUGAGGUAAUAGUUACCUAACACCAUGUCCUGGGUUGGGGUGACAAUUGGCCGGCCAUCUUUUAGUCCCAAGAUGUGCUUGGAAGCUAACAGAAUAGCACGCGCUUCGUUAACGGCAUUUUCGCUCAACGGAACGUGCACCGCCAUCUGGUCACCGUCAAAGUCAGCGUUAAAAGCAGUGGUCACUAACGGGUGUAGGCGAAUCGCUUUCCCAUCGACAAUCCGCGGUUCAAAGGCCUGUAUUCCCAAACGGUGCAAAGUAGGUGCCCGGUUUAAUAACACCGGACGGUCCUUAAUGACAUCAUACACAAUCCCCCAGAUCAGGUCGUCCUGAUUUUUAAUCAUGUCCUCCGCUUGCCGAAUCGAGGACGCAAUUGGUCUAAUUUCGUUACCGUUGCUGUCAAACUUAUUAAUUAACCCGUGAAUAAUAAAUGGUUUGAACAGCUUGAGGAUCAUUAAUGCUGGAAUCCCGACCUCAUACAUCUUUAGUUCUGGACCCACCACAAUUACACUCCGACCAGAAUAGUCCACCCGUUUACCUAAAAGGUUGUGACGGAACAACCCUUGUUUCCCUUUUAAGCGGUCGGUGAGUGACUUCAAGGAACGUUUGUCUUUGGAUAACGCUGGCUUGUGGCGCGACGAGUUGUCAAACAAGGCAUCAACUGAUUCUUGUAACAAGCGCUUUUCGUUGUUAACCACAAUGGCAGGUACGGUACCAUCUUCCAAGAUGCGGCGUAAACGGUCGUUACGGAUAAUUACCCUUCUGUAGAAGUUAUUAAUGUCACUGGUGGUAAAUUUAGCACCAUCUAACUGGAUAAUCGGCCGGAUGUCUGGCGGGAUCACUGGCACCGUGUGCAGGAUCAUGUUUUUCGGGUGCAGCUUCGAAUUUCUAAACCAGCUAAUUGUUUCCAAUUGACGCAAGAUCUUUUUAACCUUAGCAUCCUCAACACUAUCCUUCUUAGCCUUCCGUAACGCAUCAUUGAGCUUACUAAACUCAUAGUUAAGGUCAAUCUUGUUGAGCAAUUCUAAAAUGGCUUCAGCCCCGAUACCAACGCGGAAGCCAGUGUACUUCUUAAUGUAGUUAAAGGCAUCAUUUAAGGAGAACGGUAACGAACUGUUCUUUAAGCUUUCAUAAAAGAUCUUCCCCUUGCGGUAGUCUUCGCUACUCCUGUUCUUAAUCAGGUUCCGGAAGAUGUAACCGAUCACCCGGCGCAUUUUUUGCCGCGUGGUUAAAGAACCCUUGCCUGCUAAGUCCAACACUUCCUUAAACUUAAACGGCAUGAUCUUGGGAUCUUUGAUCUUCCCAGUAUCUAAUACUAUGUAGUUAACAAAGUACAAGACCUGUUCCACUUCCUUAUAAGAGAUGUUUAACACUAAGGAGAUCUUGGAAGGGGAAGGCAGUUCCUUCGACAUCCAGAUGUGCGCUACCGGACUGACUAGGGCAAUGUGGCCCAUACGUUCCCGGCGCACAAUUGAUUCGGUUACCCAAACACCACAGCGAUCACAGCGCACGCCACGGUACUUAAUCUUCUUAAACUUCCCACAAGCACACUCAUAGUCCUUCACUGGACCAAAAAUGGCUUCAUCAAACAAACCACCAGGUUCGGGUUUUAAGGACUUAUAGUUAAUCGUUUCCGCCUUGGUAACUUCCCCUUCGGAUCAGUUUAGGAUCGUGUCGUUGGAAGCAAUCGAAAGCUUAAUUGCCUUAAUGUUCUUGUACAGCUUGUUGUUCUUUUUAUUACGCUUUGUCAUUAAUUAAUAACCCUCCGUGUCAAAUUCAAAGUCAUUAAAGAGAUCGUCCUGUUCUCCAUCAGCUUGGAGAAUUGAAACGUUGUUGGAAUCUUGUUGGGUGUUGUCAUCGUAAAUAAAGGACACACUCAACGCUAACCCUUGUAGUUCCUUCGUUAACAGUUUAAACGAUUCGGGGAUACCUGGUUCGGGGAAGGCAGCGCCCUUAACGAUCGCGGCAUAGGCCUUAUUCCGGCCCUGCACAUCAUCGGACUUAAUGGUAAGUAAUUCCUGAAGGUUGUAAGCAGCGCCGUAAGCUUCCAAGGCUCACACUUCCAUUUCCCCAAAGCGUUGGCCCCCAUUUUGUGAUUUACCACCCAAUGGUUGUUGGGUAAUCUUGGAGUAAGGACCGACAGCGCGAGCAUGGAUCUUGUCAUCAACCAUGUGGUUUAACUUCAUAAUGUACAUGAUUCCCAAGGAAAUUGGUUUUUCAAAUGGUAAACCAGUGCGACCAUCAAUCAGCUUGAACUUCCCGUGCGUUUCCGCUGGUUUCAAUCCUGCUUCAUCCAUGAUGUCUUGCAAGUCUUGGAAGUUCACCCCUUGGAAGAUCGGGGUCGCUACUUUAAAGUGGAGGUCAUCAAAGCUCAUGCCGAUUUCCUUGAGCACUAAAGCAAUGUCACCGUUAUUGAGUUGGGCCAAGGCUGCCUGCUCGUCUUUAAGACCGCGGUUCGUAAUUUGGGCUUUUAAACCAGUAAUUAAGCGGUCAAGUUUGUACUGUGGCUGGUUAAUUUCGGUUGAAAGUGCUUGAGCCUUCUUGUCAUCAAAACAAGCACUAAUUAACAUUCGCUUGGCAAGGUUAUGUGCUGCAUAACCCAAGUGCAUUUCAAAGAUUUGGCCAAUAUUCAUCCGACUCGGUACCCCCAGUGGGUUUAAGAGGAUGUCGACUGGAGUACCAUCUUCUAAGUGGGGCAUGUCCGCUACUGGGACAACCUUAGAGAUAACCCCUUUGUUACCAUGGCGCCCUGCCAACUUAUCUCCGAUUUGGAUCUUGCGUUUUUGCACCACAUAGACCUUAAUCAUUUCGAUGACACCAUCAUUAAGUUCAUUACCGUUGGCAAUGCUAAAACGCUUGACACAGGACACAAUCCCAUCACCACCAUGAGGGAGCUUUAAGGAAGAGUCACGGACGUUUUGCACACUUUCAGGGAAAAUGGCCUUAAACAGCUUUUCUUCAGGUGAUACUUCAACCUGUCCCUUAGGGGAUACCUUACCGACAAGGACAUCACCUUCCUUAACUUCAGCACCGACCAUGAUAAUGCCGUUUUCAUCUAAGUAACGCUUGUUAGCAUCACUAACGUUGGGGAUAUCACGGGUAAUUUGUUCAUCACCGUUUUUGGUCGAUAAACACUGGGCUACGUAUUCGUUAAUCGUUAAGGAGGUUAGAACAUCAUCCUUCACUAAGCGCUCGGAAAUCACUAUCGCAUCCUCAUAGUUGUACCCGUUUCAGGUCGUAAAGGCGACAAGGACAUUUUGCCCUAAAGACAGCUCACUCUUGUUAACUGCAGGACCAUCAGCAAUCACUUCGUCCUUAGUUACCCGUUGCCCCUUUUCUACUAAGGGAACGUGGUUGUAGCAGGUAUUUUGGUUGGAACGUUCAAACUUAAUUAGAUCCAAAGUGUGCUGUUCACCACUGUCACUUUCAAUCGUGAUCUUACUGUUGUCUACAUACUUUACCGUACCUGAGCAAGGUGCUAACAUCGUCAAGCCGGAGUCGCGAGCAAUCUUGUACUCUUGACCUGUACCCACAACGGGAGCGUAAGGCUUAAUUAAAGGAUAGGCUUGGCGUUGCAUGUUGGUACCCAUCAAUGCCCGCGCUGAGUCAUCGUUUUCCAAGAAGGGAAUUAAGGACGAACCGAUGGACACUACCUGAUGAGGGGCCACGUCGAUGUAGUCAAUCUUCGAGGGAUCAUACAACCCUUGCAUCGAGCGGUAACGACCAAUAAUUUCCUUAUCUAAGAUCUUGUUGUUUUCGUCAAUGUUGACCAACGAAGAGAUUUCGGCAAUAAUGUGCUCGUCUUCCCUUAAUGCCGUGAGGUAUUCAACUUCAUCGGUAAUGACACCAUUUUUAAUCUUGCGGUAAGGCGCCAUUAGGAAUCCGUUUUCGUCAAUCUUGGCAAAGGAAGCCAACGACAUGAUUAAACCAAUGUUCAUCCCUUCCGGUGUUUCAAUUGGACAAAUCCGACCAUAUUGGGAAUAGUGCACAUCCCGGAUAUCCAAGUUCGGGUCUUCGCGGGAGAUACCCCCUGGACCCAUGGCGGAAAUCCGGCGCUUAUUACUUAAUUCUGAAAGUGGAUUUUGGUGAUCUAAGAACUGGGUCAACUGGUGAGUGUUGAAGAAGUCACGAAUGACAAUUUGAAUAGGUUUGGAAUUAAUUAAGGAUUUAAUGGUCAAUUCCUUCUUUUCCGCUUGUUCAAUUACUUGACCCUCUUCGUUAAUUUGUUGACCACGGUUCACUCCAUCAGCAAUUGUGAGCUUUUCCUUUAAGAAGCGCUCCAUGCGGGUGAUUCCACUUUCCAAACGGGAACUAAUUAACUCGUUAAUUAACUUGACGCGUUUGUUACCUAAGUGAUCAAUGUCAUCGUACUUACCGAUGGCCGAAGGGAUGUUAAUCACAUAACUAAUCGAGGCAAUAAAGUCACUUAAAGUAAUUGCCUUAUUGAGAUCGUUAUCGUUGUGGAUCCCCACCACUGGCACGGAUACAUCGAAGUUGUCGUUGUUCACAUAAACAUCAAGUGAUUCAUACAACAACGAUUCAGGGGAAAGGUUAACAGCACUACCAUCAGUGGUUAACUUAAUCUUUUGGACAAAGUCAAUUUGGUUGUUUUGGGCAGCUUGCUUAAUCUUGUCGAUUUCUUCUUUAACUAAUAAGGUGCCCUUCUUUAAUAAGAGUUCCCCGUUUUUUAAAUGAAGGUCACAAGCAAGUGUUUUUUGGUAAAUCCGCUCGGUAAUUCUUAACUUACGUGAUACCUUAUAACGACCAGCAGCGGAGAGGUUAUACCUUCUUUGACGGAAGAAACGUGAACACAGUAAAGCGUGGUAACUGUUUUCCGGACAUUCAUCGGUGUUUUCUAAACCACGUAGUGAAAUGGACAAUUCAUGAACAAUGUGUUUAGCAGCCCGUUCGGUGAUGAUUUUAUCCAUCAACUCAUCCAUGUCCGCUUCUAACUGACCUACUUUAGGGUCAUUUGGUUUAGCUUCACUGAGCGCUUUGUGUUCCUUUUCUAAAAGGACAUAGUCACUCACUAAGCUGCGGAUCUUUUGGUCAGAGGCAAUCCCCUUACGGCGGAGAUCAGUUUUGCCAUCGCGGAAUUCCCUUAAUAAGUUUUUAAUUUCAGGGUCAACGUUGUUUAAGAAAUCCUUAGCGUUGUAGACUUCCGCUUCUAAGGAACGGGUAAUAAACUCGUUGUUUUUGAAAACUUUGAGGAUUUCCUUGCCACUCAUCCCAAAGGCUUUGAGCAAGGUGGUAAUAGGGAAGAUCUUUGCCCCUUCACGUACAGCAUCCCGGAGCAAGAUUUGCACAAAGGCAUCUUCAAUCUUCUUUUUAUUGGAGAUGUAGAUCAGCAUUACCGAACCGUUGGCUGGUAAUACUUCACAUACAUAACCUUCUUGUACCCGUUUACGCGAACUAGACAAUUUUAACUGGGACUUAGUGAGCAUGUAGAUCCCCGGUGAACGGGUAAUUUGGGCAAUCACAAACUUCUCAAUCCCGUUGACAAUAAAGACCCCAUCGCGGGUAAUCAAUGGUAAGUUAGUUAAGAAAACGCCAUCGACACUACUGGUGGCACUGUUCUUCUUGGAUUUGCGCGGCUUUUUAAUGGUUCCGGUAGCGGAAUCAAUUAAUUCUAAGUCAGCGUAAAUACCAAUUUCAUAGGUCUUGGACUCAGAGCGUGAUUGGGCUUCAUUACGUUCAGGAGCGGUACGACGCAAACCCUUAAAGUUGAUCGUGUAACGAUCAUUAGGGGACUUAAUUGGAAAGUAAGCAGCAAUCAGGUUUUCCAGAUCGUGAUCUAGAAAAGUUUGAUAGCUCCUAAUCUGAAUAUCAGCCAGAUUAGGUUGCACAAAAUCAGUGGCAAUUUUGCCAUAGUAACGGCGGGUAGCAGUGGGUGAGUAUUUUUUCUGAAAGAAACUAGGUUUUUGUGACAUUCGUGUACAAAAAAGGGCUAAAAAUAACAGUAAAAAGCCACUAACAGCGACAAAAGGGCCGCAUGCUAAUGGGCUUUGUAAAGUUUGCUACAUUAUAUCAAUUUUUGUACGUCAGUGAUAAAUGGCUGAAAAUCAAAGCCAUCAUGAUAGCCAUUUACUAACACGGCUCCCUUAACGUUGAGACCACUAAAACUAAAGAAUUUAGUGAGUAGUUCCAGCACUGUCUUACCACCACUCUUAGCUGCAGGAGUGACACAGCAAAUAAUUCCAUCAAGCUCCUUUAAAAACUGGUUUUUACCGUAUUGGGUAUCGCGGGUCAUCCAGUCGAUUGUGUUUUUAGCAAAGGCAGGGACAAAACCGUUGUGUUCUGGAGUGACAAAAAUUAGCGUUUUGUGAUCGUGUAGUUUGCGCACUAAACUCUUAAUUUUUUCGGGAAAAUGAUCCUUUUCCAAAUCUUCACAAUAAAAAUCCACUUGGUAGUCAACUAGUUCAAUUAAUUCAGCAUUGAGUUGUUGUUCCAAAGCUUUAGCAAACUUCCGGUUAAUUGAAUUUUUGGAGUUAGCUAACAAUAAGAUUAACGGUUUGGUACUCAUUUUUUUAUCUUUGAUCCUAUUUAUAUAAAAGAAAAUUGUUAAUUAAAGCGGAGAAAACUUAAUUUAAUUUUUAGUUUUCUUUUUUGCAACCAAUUUCGCUUUAGCAACCCACUCCUCAUUACUUUUCCUUAAUUCUUGAGCUUUUCUUUCUUUGAUCAACUUAAUAAGUUCAUUGAUUUUUGCUUGUGCUUUUUCCUUAUAAAACUCAUCAGUAGCUCUUCUAACAGCUUGCAGUUAUUCUCUUUUAUCGUGAUCAAAGGUGGUAUAUCAUUCUGAGUCCAACUCUAAUAAAGCGUCUUUUUUAGAAGCUAGUCGUUCUUUAGCUUCUUUGGCAUUUCAAUGAUCUUCUGAUGGUAGUUUGGUGUCCAUUGAAGAUUUAAGGUACUUUUUUAAUUCUUUGAGAUGCUUCUUAUCUUCGUUCUCUGAUCAUUUUUUAAUGCUUUUUAAAUGCUUAAUUAAAUCUUUAGACUGAUCGUCUUCUUUAAAGCUUCCUCCCUUUCUUAGACUUUUGAAUAAACCUUCUAUUCUAUCCAAUACCUCUUCUUUAUGAUCAUCCUCUAAGUUUUCCUCUAAAUUUUUCUUAAAUAAGAAUUGAAAACAAUAAACAUCUUUUUUUAUUAGUUUCACAACUACCAAAACUUUCACAGCUAAAUUUAUCAGUGUCUCACUUUUUUAAUUCUUCUUUCGUUUUUAAUUCAAUUUCUUGAAUUCUUUUUUGUUUUGCUUGUUCUUCUUUAGCUGCACACCCUCGGAAAAACUUAUUAAUCUCAUCUCUCUUUGAGUUUUCCAUUUUUUUCAAUAUAAAACAAAAGAGCACUCCACUAAUGUGAAACGCUCAAUUGUUAGAGACAAAUACUUAUACCUCUAAAUCUUUUGAACAGAUUUCUAUUAAUCUAUAUGCUUGAGAAAGAUAUGGAUAGGGUCUCAAGAAAAGAACAUCUGAAUAAUAAAGCUUUGAAGUUUUAAACUUCUUAAACCCUAUAUUCAUUUUUUUCAGAAACUCUUUCCAAAUUCUUUUCUUAACCACUUUAUUUUUAGUGCUUCAGAUAUCACAAAUAAAGCUAAUACGCUUUCAAAGUUAAUGCUUUUAGUUUACUUUUCAAUAAAGAAACAAGGCUCGUAUUGCUUGAUGUCACCUAUUAGAGUAUUAGUGCUUACGGUGGUUAAACCAACGUUUUGAUCUUUAUUGGCCUCUAAUAAACAGAUGCAAUUAUUGUCAUAGUUGUAACCCUUCAUUACUUCAACAAUAAAAUAGGCAUCUUGUUUAAUCACAAUUGCAUUAACUUGUAAAGUGCUAGCUUCUUGGGCAAACACUUGCAAGUUUUCAAAAUACAGCAAUAAUUGUCCCGCAAAGUUAAUAAAGGCUUGCUUUCAAAUGGUAUUGUUAUCUAUUUGUAAGUGGUGCUUAAUACUCUCCAAGUUUUUGAGUAAAUACUUGUGUGGUACGUUGAAGUGCACAUCAAUGUCUAAGUUAUUUUCAGUAUUAAAGCGUUCUUUGAAACUGGUAAAGCUCAGGUCAAAACUGUUACUGUUAGCCAUAGAAGUGCCAAAAGCAAACUGUGAAUUUAACUCGACAAAGAAAAGGUUAUUCUUUGUUUUUUGCUUGCGCUUUUGGUGGUUCCAAGUAUUAAAAAACUUCUUUUCAAAGUUUUUGCGGCAAUAACGUUUGUACUGAUAACCGUGCUUUUUAAUGAUUUUAACGAUUUCAUAAGAAAGCUUUGUUCGCUUAUUUUCAAACGGAGAAUUAACUAGUAAAACCACUAAUUUCAGCCCGGAAAACUGUUUAACUGCUUCUAACAGCUUUUUAAUUUCUGUUUCUGUUUGUUUGGUUUUUUCGACCAACAUAAACACUGUUUCCGCUUCUUUAUGUAACCUAAUCGCUAAACCAAAACCACUUAAUAAGUUAUUGUCAAAACUUAAAAAGCGAAAGUGAUCAAAGAAAACGUGUUGGUAAACUGUUUGACUCGCUGAUGGUACUAAUAAGUAUUUAAUCUGAUUCGACUUAACUAGGUGAUUGACAAAAUCUAAGUAUUCUAAAGCGGAAAGUAAUCCCACUUUAUUGGUGUUUUGAAAGCAAUCGUAAGCUAAAAGUCUUUGCUCAUUCACCAAGGUUUGCUCGUUAAUGGUUGUUUGUGCCAUACCUAGUAAAUUUUACUUAGUUUAUUAUGCUUCAAAAUAUCGUGCAUUGCUUUACAGAAACUUUCAUGCUUGCUGUUAAACAUUUGGUGUUGACUGUGUAAGAUAACCCCUGAUUGCAAGUUACCUUUCUUAAUCAAAAAGCGGUUAAAGUAGUUUAAAGUAGCUUUUGUAGGCAUAAAAUCAUCAUGUUGAGCCAACAGUAAAAAGGCUGGUAUGGUAAUAGUUUUAUAAGCACUGUUUAAGCGCGACAAUUCCUUAAAGAUCUGAAAGGUGAGUUUUUUGCACAUAGCAGUAUGCUUGUCUAACUCCAUUUGUCACUGUCCAUCGUUUUGUAAAUCAGGAAACUUUGGUUGAAACAUCCGCUUAAAGUAAGACAGCUUUUCGUCCUUCUUUUUAAAAGCCUUUUUAAUCUUGUAGUAAUUCAACAAGUUGGAAUAAGACAGUGGCGCUAAGAGCACUAGUUUUUCCACUCGUUGUGGUUUUAAAAACUGCAAUGCAUAACUAGCCACUGCCCCACCCAUGCUGUGUCCUAUUAAAACAAUGUUUUCUAAAUCUUGCUUUUCAAUUCAAGCUACCAAUAAAUGGGCAUAGUGAAUAGGUGACAAUUCCUUGUCAGUAAAACCAUGGUGGUUAUGACCCGGUCACAAGGGUGCGUAAUAGUCAUAAUCCACCAGCGUUUCAGAAAAGCUCUUAAAAUAAGAAUG
rnacentral:sRNA from 1 species